CAGGACAGGUCAGUGCCCACGAGGCCAAAAAGAACUUAGAGGUGCCUGUUCCCUCUCCUACCCCAGACCCACACGCACAGAUACCCUCACUAAGCCAUCACACUGCACAGUGACACUGGAACCCUACUAGGCCCAGAAAACCCUCAGUGCCUUCAACAGGGCUCCACCUGGUGUCAAGAACCUGUUAUCAAGAUGGCUUUUGCCAAUCCCCUUUCCUGGCACAGGGUGGGUGGCCGGUGCUCCAGGCAUGUGCAGACAUCAGGGACCUAGCUCCCUGGACCUUCAGACCCUCAACAACAGACAGGUUGGCGGGACCUGGGAUCUGCCACCACUGGGUGGGGCCAGGACAGCCCAGCGAGACUCAUGGCUUCCCCUAGAGGGUGGCAAGCCUGCCCAGCCCUGGGACCUCCACGAUGUCUCCUGCCCCGCUUACGAGCAGGUGUCCCAGGUGUGCCGGGAGCGGGGAGCGCUCGACAAAUCCUCCCCGCCCCCAGGAGCGCCCCACCCACGCCGCAGCGCCAGCCCAUGCCCCCGGCUCCGGUGCCCAGCCCUCGGCCCAGCCCAGGUCCCGGCUCCCGCAGCCACAUGUUCCGGAGCUACGACGAGCAGCUGCGGCUGGCUAUGGAGCUGUCAGCUCAGGAGCAGGAGGAGAGGCGGCGGCGAGCGCGCCAGGAGGAGGAAGAGUUGGAGCGGAUCCUGCGGCUCUCGUUGACCGAACAGUAGCGCCUCCUGCUGGGACCCUCGCCCACUCUACGCAGGACCGGGGUCUGCGCACCUGCCGAGCGGCUGCUGGAGUCUGGAGCCAUCGCAUUGGGGGUGUAGCAGCGCAUCAGGCUUGAGAUGCCAGGGGUUUGAUACAGGAGCGGAGUAACUUUCCAGGCCAGAGCCCUAGAGGCAUGGCUGGUCUCCCUGCUUUGUUGUACGGUGAUCCCUAAUCCGCUUCUCUGGGCUCAGAUCUGUCCAAGGGCGGAGGCAGGUGGUAUCGAAAAGGAAACGAAUCCUUGAGAGGAGCAUUGUCCCCGUCCCUUGCUCCUUAUGGCUGGUCCUCCUUCUUGCUCACUGACCCCUCUCCAGGACACUGUCCCUGAAGCCUUCGCAUCUUAGCUCUUCAUCCCUGGGAGGCAGCUGAUCGCCCAGCGUGCUGUGUCGCUGCUUUGUCCCAGACAAACCAGCACGUCAAGGGCCCAGCCCCUCCCCACCCCGGCAUUUCAGCGUCAAGUGCACUUAGCGGGGUGCCCAGCUCCCCCAGUUCCCACACCUGUCCUGUGUCUCAGGGUGGUCCUCGCUUCUCUUUAGGCAGCCAGGAAUUGGAAUCCCAUGCCCGCAGCACGUUUUUCUUGUGAUCAGGGAGUGUGUCUAAGGUGGCCCUAGUUUGGGCAAGGCCUGGUUCCCUCAUGGUGCCUUGGGGAAUGGGGGCAGCAUAUUGGCUUGGGGGCAAGCACUAGACUCGACACAAAAGCGUUGGUGAGGGCCCUGGCACCACUAUCACCGCCCACCCCUUCCUACCAGCUGCUGCUAGCCCUCUGUGGUUGUGCACCCUUCCUGCCCCCAUUCAGGGGUUGACUAACACCCUUUAUCCAAUGGUGCUAACCCCGGCUCUCCCUGUUCUACCCUACCCACCUAAAGAAGCACAGGCCCCACGGAGCAGGGCCCACACCCUUAUCCUGGGCUGCCUUCUGGCUGGCUUCUCUCUGCCAGGGGCUCAAAAGGGGCACAAACGUGGGUCAAGAAAAGAGCAACAACGCGAAAUUGUUCUUCCUCUUCCCUUCCCUGAUGCCAGGGGCACCAGACUGAUUCUGAGGCACAAAUAAAAGAGGUUUCAAACCAGA
rnacentral:lncRNA from 1 species